rnacentral:lncRNA from 1 species
CUAGUUUCGAGUUAUCUAUAACUUCGUUGAUCAAACAAUCAUUAUUACACUCUCAAAAAUCAACAACUCUAUCAAUUAGUAACAUUUUACUAAUGAAGGAUCCAAAAUUAAAGCGAUGUUUCUUAAUAGUCAUAAAAAAUUACAAACACUAAUGAAGAGAGGAAGGGAAUGAUCAUUAUUCUUAGCUCAAGAAUCUUCCACAAGGAAAAUUGACAAGGGAGAGGCAAUUUACUUGCAGCAACAUUACAUAUUUAGACAAAGCGGCCGGACCGGGCUCGACGAUAUCGGAAUUAAUUGAUUCUAUGAUCUACUUAAUAGUAGAGAGAGGAGACUCUUUCAAACCUUAUCGAUCGGGCCGAACACGCAUAGGUGAAUAGUGGCGAGCAGAUACAGAACUAGACCUCCUUAGAACAAACAUGCCUGAAAAUCGAACCAUUGAAUUCAGAAUCCAAACUAAGUCCCCCAACACAUAAGCCAAUUCCUCGUAUAUGCUCAUGCUUUUCCUUAACAUUACACGCAUCACUACUGUCAUUGCAUCUCGAAAUCUAAUCAUUUUAAUGCUUUCUCUGAGAUGUGUGGAGAAAGUCACACGAGUUAUCAGUGUUCAAUGAAUUCCGAGUCUAUCUAUUAUAUGGGGCAACAAAACAAAGGCCAGAUGACCUAGAACUUCUUUCUUUCUUCCUUCUUCUUUCUUUCUUUUAAAUCUUUGAAUGAAUGAAAAUAAUAUGUGAACACUUGUGCACUAGUAUCAAUUAUUUGACAUUAAUUAUUAGUAUAAUAAAACUCUAAAGAAAGAAAGAAGUACUAAAGGGCAUGGUAGACUUACUUAAAUACCCUUUUUCUUUAACUUAUCAAAGCUUCUCACUACUUGUGAAAAAUUAAUGUAGAAGUUGAAGAAAAUGAUGAAUUCUAGUGCUUUAUUUAAAGAAAAGCAACCAUUUCCUUGCAGCUUGUUUUCUUGGAAUCUCAGCUCCAAAACUGCAAAGAAAACAUUGUUAGAACUGAUCAAAAGGGGUUUUCUAUAAAUCAGAUUAAAAAAGCUGAAGAUUGAAUUUUUACUUUAGUUUUUACCAAGGUGCUUUUGAUAGAGCCAUGUUGUAAAUCCAUAUUUAUUCACAUUAAUUAAGCUGCGCUAUUUGGCUAUCCUUUUUCUUUCUUUGUUCUUUUUGUAAAUGUGAGAUAAAGGGGCAAAAAUGUCAAAAGAAUCAAAGGAUGUCUGACAGGUAUGAGAAAAUUAAGAAAUGAGCACAUAAUGAAAUCAU